UACGUAGGGGGCAGGCGUUAAUCGGAAUUACUGGGCGUAAAGCGUGCGCAGGCGGUUUGCUAAGACAGGUGUGAAAUCCCCGGGCUUAACCUGGGAACUGCGCUUGUUACUGGCAAGCUGGAGUGUGGCAGAGGGGGGUGGAAUUCCACGUGUAGCAGUGAAAUGCGUAGAGAUGUGGAGGAACACCGAUGGCGAAGGCAGCCCCCUGGGCUAACACUGACGCUCAUGCACGAAAGCGUGGGGAGCAAACAGG
rnacentral:rRNA from 1 species